AUUGAUACUAAGCCAUGCGAGUCAUUGUAGUAAUACAAGGCAGACGGCUCAGUAACGCGUAGUCACCUAACCUAUGGACGGGAAUAACCUCGGGAAACUGAGUAUAAUGCCCGAUAGAACAUUAUGCCUGGAAUGGUUUAUGUUCCAAAUGAUUUAUCGCCGUAGGAUGGGACUGCGGCCUAUCAGUUUGUUGGUGAGGUAAUGGCCCACCAAGACUAUUACAGGUACGGGCUCUGAGAGGAGUAGCCCGGAGAUGGGUACUGAGACACGGACCCAGGCCCUAUGGGGCGCAGCAGGCGAGAAAACUUUGCAAUGUGCGAAAGCACGACAAGGUUAAUCCGAGUGGUUUCUGCUAAAGGAACCUUUUGUCGGUCCUAGAAACACCGAUGAAUAAGGGGUGGGCAAGUUCUGGUGUCAGCCGCCGCGGUAAAACCAGCACCUCAAGUGGUCAGGAUGAUUAUUGGGCCUAAGGCAUCCGUAGCCGGCUCUGUAAGUUUUCGGUUAAAUCUGUACGCUCAACGUACAGGCUGCCGGGAAUACUGCAAAGCUAGGGAGUGGGAGAGGUAGACGGUACUCGGUAGGAAGGGGUAAAAUCCUUUGAUCUAUUGAUGACCACCUGUGGCGAAGGCGGUCUACCAGAACACGUCCGACGGUGAGGGAUGAAAGCUGGGGGAGCAAACCGGAUUAGAUACCCGGGGUAGUCCCAGCUGUAAACUAUGCAAAACUCAGUGAUGCAUUGGCUUUGUGGCUAAUGCAGUGCUGCAAGG
rnacentral:rRNA from 1 species